rnacentral:lncRNA from 1 species
GUUCGCCCUUCGUUCCCACACCGUUUUAGCUCACGUCUUCUGUAGAUGCUUCCCCACCAUUUCAGAUUGUAGACCCACUUUUUCUCUGCUUGACUCCUACUCUCCCCCUCUCCCUCCUCGCCUCACUCUUCUCUGCACCAAGCAGCUCGAUUUAGGGCUUCACCAUUUUUCUUUGAAUCAAGGUCUAUUUCUCUCCCUAUUUUCCCAAUCUAGGUUUCCUUCUCUCUGUGGAAAAACCCUAGAUCUCGCCACUGCCGCAGAGUCCAAGCUCGGCCUUUUCGAGCUUCAAUCUGCCUUGCCGAUCGUCUCCUCUCGGUGCCUCCACCUAAACCCCUUUGGUAAAUUUCCCAACUUUUCCCCCAAUAUUUUUUUCUCUCUAUUUCUGCGCUUUUGAAAGGUUUCAGAUUUCGUCUUCUUAAGCUUAUGUUUCUGAAAGGACCUUGAUUUUGUGUUUAAUUUGGGUUGUAGAUAUCUGGGUUUGUUCUUGAUUAAAUCGUUAAUUAAUUAAUUAGCUAAUUUUCCAUCUCAUCCCGUUGUAAAUUGGUUUAAUUGAAGUUUGAUUUCAUUGUUCUAAGUUCCUAGCUUUCAGUUUCGUGGGGGAAAAUUCCCUAUUUCGUUGAAAAAUAGGCGUUCAUUGGUAAUCUGGGCCUAGAAAACGUAGGAAAAUAAAUCCUAAUAAAAUUCUGUGACCUUUUGCUUUUAUGUCCAGUAAAUUGAAAUCUUGGGCUCAGCCGAGUUGUGUAUUAGUUAGGUUCAGUUGCAUGGAUUCUGUUUUUAAGAUCAGCAGACAAUUUGAAAUUGAAAUUUUUAUAUUUUUUCAUUCCGUAGUUAUCUUUUAUGAUCAGUAAAUUGUUUAUUGUGGUUAUAUAUAUUAAAUGCUGCAAGCAAGCAAAAUUUGCUUCUUGAGCAGUAUGUUCAGGGGACAUGCAUCAUAUUUUUUAUGUAAAAUCAAGACAAACAUGGAUUUUCUAUCACAUUGGACUUAAAAAGUAAAUUAGGUAAAGCCAAUACCAGCUAAGCGUACAUGCAACUGGUUCCCCUUUCAAGGAUUUGGUUCAGAUAAACUAGGAUGUUCCAGAUAUAACUGCACAAAUAGAGGUUGGCUACUCAUUGACUUAAUAGGGGUUAUUAAUGGAGGUUGUUGCCACUGCUUUGUAUCUGUUGGAAUCAGGUUCGCUCUUCGUUCCCACACCGUUUGCUUAAUAAAUUCAGGAAAGACAAAUAGUAACAAAAAAAAACAGCAAAGAAAUGUGGGUAAAUGUGCAUGUGUGAAUGCACAAAGCCACACAUGAAAAAUUACCGCAGAGAAAAACAGGAAAGCAUACAAACUGUCCCUCCAAAUUUUUGUUUAUAUUGUAGAGUAGAUGUAUUUGAUCCUCGGUUGUUCAUGGCAUAACUUGCUGACUGCUUUUGUAGUUUAGCUCUACUAAUAAGAAGUGUGGCAAAUGUGAGAUUGCUUUCACUUUGUGAUACAUUGACUUCCUACAUUGUUGUCAAAAUAUGUGUAAUGGUUGAUCAUGGCUCGCAUAUGUUGUUCUUCGAUUAGUGGUCAGGGUUGUUAAUUUAUCUGGUUUUUUGGUUUGAUUCCGAUAAUUUUUUUGGGUUUUUGGUUGCUUUGAUCUGGGUUUUCAAAGUAAGUUCUGCAUGUUUGUUGCCGCACAAGGUUUUGAUUUCCCUUUUUUUUUAUGGCUUUUGUUAGUAUCUCAUGUGCUUUUGUUUUUUAUUUCAGAAAUUUUGUGCCCAUUUUGGAUUCGCUUCGUACUUGGUUGAGACCCAUCUAAUCCGGCGUUUCCAGGUAAGUUUUGACAUUUCAAAAGAUGGCUUGAUAUUCAUUUCGGAACUUCACAGCCUUUCUUCUUAGUUAAAUGAAUUAACCAAGAUUGGUUUUUUCUUUAUUAUUUGGUCCAUUUCGUAAUUGUUGAGUGACUAAGUAUUACUUACCAAUUGCAAUAGAUCAUUGCACUUUCAAUUACUGGAGGUCUGAAUGCUGUUAUGAUGUGCAGAUAUCUCUAUAAUCAUCAUGUAAGAAUGCUUUUUCAUGAAAUUAAUGCUUUUUUUAAGAAAGCUUUAAUUUCGGUAUAGAAAAAUGAAUAAAUUCCCUGAUGAAUUGUUUUUGCAAAAUGAAAAUGGGGAAUGGGCUCUCUGCAUAUUGAGGGCCAAGUACCAUGUUUGUAAACUGUUUUGGUUCUGUGUUGAACAUUAGGAUGUAUAUGAAUUUUGAUAUGGAUGAGAAUAUGUUUUAAUAUAUUUCACACAUUUAACACAAUUUUAAAACCCUCGGCAUCACGCGGGCUCAAUUUCUAGUUUGUUCUCAAUUUUGUAUAUCAAAUUUGGAUUUGGUUAUCCCAGCACACCAGACAUAAUUGGAAUUGUUGACAGAGUUCAAAUGAAAGGGCGACAUUGAUGUGUUUAAAGUUGAGGAACGACAUUGGUCGAUCUUCAAAAUGAGGGACUAAAAUGAAGAGUUUAAGUCGAUUUCAGGACCAUCUGCAAUAAAAUACCAAAACCAAAUAAAAAAGGUCUGUUUUUAGGGAAUUUUAACGAAAAGCUAUCGGUAAUAUUCAUUUUAACGGAAAACCAUAUUUUUACACUAAAAAAUCAAUUAUGAUACUAUUCACUUUACCCUUUAUUGUGUAUUUUUCGUUAAAACUCAAAGUUUUCAAGUCUUUUUCAUUAUUUUUCCUCUGUUUCUGAAG